GCUGGGGGGAUUAGUGGCGAACGGGUGAGUAACACGUGAGUAACCUGCCCUUGACUCUGGGAUAAGCGCUAGAAAUGGCGUCUAAUACCGGAUACGAGCUUCAGCCGCAUGGCUAGGAGUUGGAAAGAAUUUUGGUCAAGGAUGGACUCGCGGCCUAUCAGCUAGUUGGUGAGGUAAUGGCUCACCAAGGCGACGACGGGUAGCCGGCCUGAGAGGGUGACCGGCCACACUGGGACUGAGACACGGCCCAAACUCCUACGGGAGGCAGCAGUGGGGAAUAUUGCACAAUGGGCGAAAGCCUGAUGCAGCAACGCCGCGUGAGGGAUGACGGCCUUCGGGUUGUAAACCUCUUUUAGUAGGGAAGAAGCGAAAGUGACGGUACCUGCAGAAAAAGCACCGGCUAACUACGUGCCAGCAGCCGCGGUAAUACGUAGGGUGCAAGCGUUGUCCGGAAUUAUUGGGCGUAAAGAGCUCGUAGGCGGUUUGUCGCGUCUGCUGUGAAAUCUGGGGGCUCAACCCCCAGCCUGCAGUGGGUACGGGCAGACUAGAGUGCGGUAGGGGAGAUUGGAAUUCCUGGUGUAGCGGUGGAAUGCGCAGAUAUCAGGAGGAACACCGAUGGCGAAGGCAGAUCUCUGGGCCGUAACUGACGCUGAGGAGCGAAAGCGUGGGGAGCGAACAGGAUUAGAUACCCUGGUAGUCCACGCCGUAAACGUUGGGAACUAGAUGUGGGGGCCAUUCCACGGUCUCCGUGUCGCAGCUAACGCAUUAAGUUCCCCGCCUGGGGAGUACGGCCGCAAGGCUAAAACUCAAAGGAAUUGACGGGGGCCCGCACAAGCGGCGGAGCAUGCGGAUUAAUUCGAUGCAACGCGAAGAACCUUACCAAGGCUUGACAUAUACCGGAAACGUCCAGAGAUGGUCGCCCCGCAAGGUCGGUAUACAGGUGGUGCAUGGUUGUCGUCAGCUCGUGUCGUGAGAUGUUGGGUUAAGUCCCGCAACGAGCGCAACCCUCGUUCUAUGUUGCCAGCACGUUAUGGUGGGAACUCAUAGGAGACUGCCGGGGUCAACUCGGAGGAAGGUGGGGAUGACGUCAAAUCAUCAUGCCCCUUAUGUCUUGGGCUUCACGCAUGCUACAAUGGCCGGUACAAAGGGCUGCGAUACCGUAAGGUGGAGCGAAUCCCAAAAAGCCGGUCUCAGUUCGGAUUGAGGU
rnacentral:rRNA from 1 species